UAUAUACUCCCUCCGUCCCAAAAUUUUUGUCUUGGAUUUGUCUAAAUACGGAUGUACCAAGUCAUAUUUUAGUAUUAGAUACAUCCGUAUCUAGACAAAUGUAAGACACGAAUUUUGAGACGAAGAGAGUAGUAU
rfam:Triticum aestivum genome assembly, contig: Triticum_aestivum_CS42_TGACv1_scaffold_375473_5AL